CGUCCAUACAGAAGGGACUGGCAAAUCUUCUCCAUUUUCAAGUAAAUCUAAAGCAAUCACAUUUUCCUCUAUUCGAAUCACGUGAAGGUUUACAAGUUCGUCCAAAAUCAUCAACGUUCAUAUUCAGAGUGUAGACCGAAAAUUCAAAAUCCAAAAUCCCGUCCAAAUGGAACUUUAGUGUUAUAAAUACCUUCUCGAAUCUUCAGCAAAACAAGUCUUUGAGCCAUAGAAAUACUGCUCAUCUAACUCUGCUAUCUAUCAUCUCUCUAAACACUUAGUAUUUUUCCUCUUGAUCUCUGCUCGUUUCUUUUUUAUUCGAAGAAGGGGGAGAUCUGAAGCCUCAAAUGCUCCAGUUCACUGCCCUGUGGAAAGUAAUUUUAAGAUGUUCAAUUGGUGGCCAAGACCCCAAGACGGUCAAGAAGAUUAGUGGAGAUAAUAGUUUUAAUAACUUAGAUCUAGAUUUAUGUUGUAUUGCUCAUGAAUUCCAAUGUAUACAUUUUAUUUCCAUUUUAUUGUAAAGCUUAAGUUAUUGAGAGUUUGGAAUGAUACAUAAAAUACACGUUUAUCCUUCAAA